UACGGAGGGUGCAAGCGUUAUCCGGAUUCACUGGGUUUAAAGGGUGCGUAGGCGGGCAGGUAAGUCAGUGGUGAAAUCUCCGAGCUUAACUCGGAAACUGCCUUUGAUACUAUCUGUCUUGAAUAUGGUGGAGGUAAGCGGAAUAUGUCAUGUAGCGGUGAAAUGCUUAGAUAUGACAUAGAACACCAAUUGCGAAGGCAGCUUACUACCCGAAUAUUGACACUGAGGCACGAAAGCGUGGGGAUCAAACAGG
rnacentral:rRNA from 1 species